rnacentral:rRNA from 1 species
UACGAAGGGGGCUAGCGUUGUUCGGAAUUACUGGGCGUAAAGCGUGCGCAGGCGGCUUCUCAAGUCAGGGGUGAAAGCCCAGAGCUCAACUCUGGAAUUGCCUUUGAGACUGAGUGGCUUGAGUACGAGAGAGGUGAGUGGAAUUCCCAGUGUAGAGGUGAAAUUCGUAGAUAUUGGGAAGAACACCGGUGGCGAAGGCGGCUCACUGGCUCGUAACUGACACUCAUGCACGACAGCGUGGGGAUCAAACAGG